rnacentral:lncRNA from 1 species
UCCGAAUUUCAAAUUAUAUGACAAGUAAUCGGACCACACAAAAAUUUCAAAUAUGCCAAGCAACAUCAUAAUCCAGUUCACUCAAGGAACGCACAACAACAACCACAAUAUAAUUUGGUCCACUCAUGAAACCAUUAUAAACAUCAAUAAUAACAAUAAUUAUAUUCUUGGUCCACUUAAAAAACUGUCACACUAAUACAUACCUUGUACAUACAUGCUAAGGAUCUUACGAUUGUUCAUUAGUCAUGACCUGCAUGGGAUAAACUCUUAUCCAUGUACUAUACCACUGUAGUAUCUGGGCCAACCAACGAAACAUAUCAAGCAAUUUCAUGAAAGUGUCCAUAUAUCGGUAUAUCCCACAAUAAUAAUCGAUAUCAUAAUAAUCACAAUUACAAUGAGAACAAAUAAGCAUACUUGAACAGUCAACAAACGCUUAAUAUAACCUCAUUUUAUGUGGUUAAUAUUUAGGAUAUUAUUUAACAAUUAUAUUUUUUAAGUAAUUAUUGCAACAAUAGACAACCACCUAAAUAUAUAUUUGGUCAACUCGAGUUAAUUAAUUCAUGUAAAUAACGAUCAUACUUUGACACACUAAAUCACAAGUAGAUAUAAAUCAUUGGUUUCAUCAAUUAUAUCAUGUUUGAAGAUCAAUUUUCGACUUAUUCUAGUAAGCAUUUUUAAGUCAUAUUCAUUAAAAUCAAGUAGUCAUUCCAGGAGUGCACAUUCAACCCAAGGGAGUCUAAACUCUAGCCCAACAUUCAUAAAUUCAUUCAUUGAUCCAAUCCUCCUCAUCUAUAUCAAGACUCGAGAUUCCACUAUUAUCUAGCAACCCUCGCUUUCAAGUCAUUACUAGAUUCAAGAUCUAAUCCAUUAGUCAAUCAUUCAACUCUAUUCAACUUAUGAUCUAGUUUUAGUUAAACACCUUUGUACCUUUUACUUUCUAAACUUUGGUUUAACUCUACUUUAAGCUUUUAAAUCAUGUCACUGCCUUUUCCUACCAUAGUAGUUCUAGCAAGAUUAUCCUAUAUUUAAUAUAUAUAAAAAUAAGUUUAUUCUUUUUAGGAUAAUUAGGCUAAAUCACUAGAUUAUAGGCUAACACGAUCUCAUUAUCAUCUAUAAUCACAUAAGUCACAUUACAAUCCAUCAUGAAGUCAUACAAACACACAACACCCAUCAAGAAUUCAUACACAAGAUAACAAUAUAUAAUUAAGUCUUCAUUACAUUAAUUUCAUGUUUUAUCCACCAAAACUCCAUGCCCUCAUGCUUAAUCAUGAUUUCUCCCAUCAAAUUUAUAUUAUGGAUAUGAUUACUAACCACAAUCUACUACUCAUAAACUAUGACCUACCUGGGCCUCAAAUUGCUGCAACAAUUAAGCGAUGCCAUGGAUGAUCUUUUGUCUUCUUCACCUUUUGAAGUCUAAAUCAUGUAAUAAUAAAAAUUACAAGAGUAAUUAAUAAACUAUUCUUUAAACAAAUAUCUUGAGAAUUUAAACCCACUAAUUCUACCCUCAUUACGAUCUACAAUAUUAUUCAAGGGUCAAUUAGUCAUCAAAAUAGUUCCUUCAAGCUCAACUCAACUCCAUGAUGAAGUUUUUAGACAAAAGGUUCUACCUUUAUUAAAUUCAAGGUCUUCAACUAUCAAUUUUCUUAUUUUAGAAUCACUAAUUCAUGCUAGAGAUUGUUAAUUAACAAUUUAGAAGUGAUUCUACGUGAUAUUAACUCAAUCCAUAGAUUUUUUUUCAAAAUAUCAUGAACUUAUGGUUUAAAUUCCUAAGAACUUCACCAUUAAAGGUUGUUUUAAUUAUUCUAGGAUGCUAAAGGAUUGAAAGUAAAGAAGAUGUGGAAGAAACUUACCUCAACGAAGAAUUUUCACUCAUACUAAGAGAAAAUCACACGUCUAGGACUUAGGAUGAAAUUUUGGAAUUUGGGGGUUGAAACCUAUCAAAAUGGGCUAUAAACUAUUAUACAUAUCUUUAUAGUGACCUGACCUGCUAUAGCGAUGUUUCUAUAGAGACUUGGUCUGCAACAACGCCCUCAGCUUUUUAGUAUGGACAAUCUUCAGUAGAACGAUCAUAAUUUACUCAGAACGCGAUUUAACGAAUAGUUAGUUUUUAGAAAAAUAUUGACCCCUAACUCCUUCUAUUCUAGGAGAAAUGCUCAUUUGAAGUUGACCCUAGUUUAAAUUUAGCCCAAAACUCAAUCAAUAAGGAUACUUUUAACUUAACUUUGUGGUAGGAGUGUUAUAUGACCUUAGUAUAUAUCAAAUGCCACCCCAAACUAAAGAAUUAAUCCUAGCACAUAUGACGAAUAAGAUUCUUAUGCCUUUGCCGCAAAUAUAUUCAGUUUGGAGUCUUUGGACAUAAAAUUUGGAGUUUUUAUAUUUUUAUCAUAAACAUGAAAAUACCAUAAGUUGCGAAAAUUAUUACAUUUCUCCAAUUCUUAUAUAUUGUUAUUAAAUGAGCAAAUUAUAAUUCAUAAAUAAGAUAUUGCAAUAUCCUAAGACACUGCAUUGAUAAUUGCAUAUCUCCAUGUUUCUUUUACGAAUAAAUAUUUACUAUUACAAACUUUCAAGUACACAUAAUUUUAUAAAGAUUUAUUAGUUAGCUAACUCUAGUUAUUCUUUAACAAGAUCUUUUACAUAGUAUAAUUUUUUCAUGUAGAGCAUAAGUCUUUUUUGUAAAAUUUAAAAUAAUUGGAAAGGUUUGUUUUUACAAAUUAUAAAUGGUUUAAAAAAAAACUUGAAAUUAUAAUUUGAAAUUCCACAUUAAUUUUUUUUAAAAAAUUUAAGAUUUCAUCGCAUGAUCUCAAAUCUUAUACCCAAACACUGAAAUCUCAUGUCCAAACAUAUACAAAAUUAAUAUCCAGUUUCCUGAAAAGGAAUUAUGAUCAAAGAUAUGAUCAACAGUCCGCAACGUAAUAAUAAUCGUAGUGACUCUUUCUGAUUUUUUUAAAAAAUUGUUUGUUAGUUUAGUUUUCGAGUCGCCACCUAACUUUUAAGGAAAAAUUAGGAAAAUCAUUUUCGUAACAUGAAAACUCUAUUUUUAAUUAGCGAAAAUCGGUGAGAUUCUAAGUAAAGGUUUUGAUUACUCGAGAGGAAGGAAUUAGGCACCCCUCAGAACCUAUCCGAAGAUAGUCCUUAAACUUAGUUUCAGAAAACAUUUGAAAAAUAUUUGUUUUGUUAUUUGCUAAAAUAGUAACAAGAAAAAAUUUAUUGCUAUAUUUUAUUUUUUAUUUUUUGAAAAGGAGACUUAGGGUACAGAAAAUGUAAUGCCACCAUAUACAAGGAAAUAAUAUAGUUAUUGUAAGAUAUAUGCAUAAAUAUUUAAAAAUAUGAGAAAAAGUACCUUUUUUAUAAUAAUAUAAAGUAUAAAAUCUGAUGAUUUUACGAGAAAACAUGCUUAAUAUGUAUGAAGUUAAUACAUGAACAAAAUUAAUUAUAAAGUAAGAAAGUAUUUUUUUAAUGUAUGAAAGAAUUUAUUCAAAAUAGAUUUAAAUACAGGAAUAUUUAGAAAUACGUAAAAAAAAAUUGUGAGAAUCCAUUUGAUUUAUGAAAUUCCAAUAGACUAAACGAAGUCGGAAAUAAGAUGUGAUAGUAAAGUGCAUUAUAUAAUAGCGUUGAAAUAACUUGUAAAUGAUGUAAUAGUAUGGAAAACAAUAAUAAUAAUAAUAAAAUGUGCCUUGUAUACGGCAAAGUGAGAGUAAAUAUAUACGUUGCAUUUUAGAAACUUUUAGAAUCUGAAAAGUUAAAAAAACUUUGAAAUAAAGUUAGAUAUGAAACAAAUACUUGAACUACGUCGAGUCAAUAAAAAAUUUGCAAUUUGAUAAGAACGUUAUUUACAAAACUAAUGCUUGACUAAUUAAGAUCAUUUGUGACUUAUUUGAAAAACUCUAAUCAAGGCGCUAAAUAUCGUGAAUUAAUAUUUUUGAAAAUGAAGACAAUUGCUGGCCGUUUUGAUCAAUUUUGAAACUGUGCUUUUCGUUUGCGCUUGUACUUAAAACCAAAAUUUUACCUAUUUUACUCUAAAGGAUUUAUUUGUGUAUAUAGAGUAAUUGAUUCAAUAAUAUGGUGCUACUACACUUACAAACGUCGGAUUGGUGAAAGAUUGGCCGAUUAACAAAAUAAAAGCUAAUCAGUCAAACAACUCAAGUCCACGUAUUUACACGCUAUAUAUUCAUGAAACAAAUUUCAGACCCAAGAUAAAUUCACCAAAACAACAGAACUAGUCUAGCCGUAACGGCAAUCCAAAGCGAGCAACAACGAAUUAAAUACUCUAUCAACCGAACGAGAUAAAAGAUGAAUGAAGAAAUUGAAGGGGCAAGUUUGCACCUUCUUUGGUGUAGCGAAACUAGGGCUCCGGUGUCAAGGAAUGCUCUGGCGACUACAAACCCGCUCCGAAACUUCGAAAUUGGACAGAAAUUGGAAAGGAAAAUAGGAAAUUUUGAAAACCUUUUUUUCCUUUUCAACUCGUUUUGUUUUGGUUCUUCACCUCUGUCCCCCUAAUCUCCGAUGUUCAACCCCCGUCCUCAAAGGGGUGAGAAUCCGGCAAUUUAUAGCCAAAUUUGGACUCCAAAGUCCGAAUUUGAGACAACGAAUAAGUAAAAACGAGGGAAAAACAGAGAAUUUGAAUUUUUGAAUUCAAAUUUCUAAAGCAAAUCUAUUGAUUUCAAACUUUUUCAGGGUACUUGUGGCGGACUUGACGUCAAUGACGAGUUGUUACAUCGUUUUAGGGCCUAAUUUUCUUGAGUUCAGCGGGUUUCACGGAAAAGAUGGGGCGGUCCGCGUGGAGGCGCAGCUAUGUCUGCAUAUGGCUGCCAUUUUUGUCGAUGAAGAAGGGAAAAGAGAAGAGAGAAAGUCUUCGUAAUGUUGUUUUUUGAGAGAGAGAGAAACAGGUCAGUGUAUGGGAAAGGAAAAUGCGUGUAUUGGGAGCGUGAAAAGCCGUAUAAAGGGCUGAUUAUUUAACUAUAAUUUGGACUGUCCGAUCGUUUGAUCGGACGGUUCAGAUUUAAUAAAAGAAUAAAAGAAUAUAAUAAAUUAUAUGCAUAAAUAUAAAAAUAAGUAAAUAAUUAGAAACUUUGAGACUUAUCGGACUAGAAAUAAUUUAACGGAUUAGAUCAAAUUGUGUGGAAUGGCAAAGCGGAUAUGGAAAUUGUUCUAGAUUUCG